UACGAAGGGGGCGAGCGUUGUUCGGAUUUACUGGGCGUAAAGGGCGCGCAGGCGGUUCUGUUUGUCGAGUGUGAAAGCCCCGGGCUCAACCUGGGAACUGCGCUCGAAACGGCGGAACUAGAGUUCGGGAGAGGAGAGUGGAAUUCCCAGUGUAGAGGUGAAAUUCGUAGAUAUUGGGAAGAACACCGGUGGCGAAGGCGGCCAACUGGACGAGUACUGACGCUGAGACACGAAAGCGUGGGGAGCAAACAGG
rnacentral:rRNA from 1 species